rnacentral:rRNA from 1 species
UUAUGCGAUACUUGGUGUGAAUUGCAGAAUCCCGUGAACCAUCGAGUCUUUGAACGCAAGUUGCGCCCGAUGCCAUUAGGUUGAGGGCACGUCUGCCUGGGUGUCACAUAUCGAAGCCCCUUCCCAAUUUCCUAUUUAAUAGGUAUUGUGUGCAGGGUGAUUAUGUUGGCCUCCCGUGAGCUCUGUCUCACGGUUGGUUGAAAAUUGAGACCUUGGUAGGGUGUGCCAUGAUAGAUGGUGGAUGUGUGACCCACGAGACCAAAUCAUGUGCUGCUCUAUUGAAUGUGGACUCUUUUACCCACAUGCGUUUUGUAACGCUCGUGAUGAGACCUCAGGUCAGGCGGGGCUACCCGCUGAAUUUAAGCAUAUCAAUAAGCGGAGGAAAAGAAACUAACAAGGAUUCCCUUAGUAACGGCGAGCGAACCGGGAUAAGCCCACCAUGAGAAUCGAUUGCCCUCGGCGUUCGAAUUGUAGUCUGAGAAAAGCGUCAA